AUUGAACGCUGGCGGCAGGCCUAACACAUGCAAGUCGAGCGAGCGGCGGACGGGUGUGGACUGUAUGUUGACCUGCCCGUUAGAGGGGGAUAACUACUGGAAACGGUAUCUAAUACCGCACAUUACCGGAUGUACCCUUAUGGGAUUAGCUAGUAGGGGAGGUAAUGGAUCACCUUGGCGACGAUCCCUAGCUGGUCUGAGAGGAUGAUCAGCCACACUGGGACUGAGACACGGCCCAGACUGCUACGGGAGGCAGCAGUGGGGAAUAUUGCACAAUGGGGGCAAGCCUUAUGCAGCCAUGCCGCGUGUGUGAAGAAGGCUUUAGGGUUGUAAAUUACUGUCGGUCGGGAGGCGUUACCAACAGAAGAAGCACCGGCUAACUCCGUGCCAGCAGCCGCGGUAAUAC
rnacentral:rRNA from 1 species